rnacentral:piRNA from 1 species
UUAACAAGAAGCCUGUGAGAUUUUGGU